UUGUUAAGGAACUCGGCAAAAUGACCCCGUAACUUAGGGAUAAGGGGUGCCACCAUCAGGUGGCCGCAGAGAAUAGGCCCAAGCGACUGUUUACCAAAAACAUAGGUUUCUGCUAAGUCGCAAGACGAUGUAUAGGAGCUGACGCCUGCCCGGUGCUGGAAGGUUAAGGGGAUCUGUUAGAGCAAUCGAAGCAGUGAACUUAAGCCCCAGUAAACGGCGGCCGUAACUAUAACGGUCCUAAGGUAGCGAAAUUCCUUGUCGGGUAAGUUCCGACCCGCACGAAAGGCGUAACGAUUUGGGCACUGUCUCAACAACAGACUCGGUGAAAUUGUAAUUCCGGUGAAGAUGCCGGAUACCUGCGACAGGACGGAAAGACCCCAUGGAGCUUUACUGUAGCUUGACAUUGGGUCUUGGUACUACAUGUACAGGAUAGGUGGGAGGCUUUGAAACCAGGACGCCAGUUUUGGCGGAGCCAUCCUUGGGAUACCACCCUUGUAGUACUGGGACUCUAACCAUAGGCCAUGAAUCUGGUCUUGGGACACUGUCAGGUGGGCAGUUUGACUGGGGCGGUCGCCUCCCAAAAGGUAACGGAGGCGCUCAAAGGUUCUCUCAGUACGGUCGGAAAUCGUACGUAGAGUGUAAAGGCAAAAGAGAGCUUGAUUGCAAGACAUACAGGUCGAGCAAGGAUGAAAAUCGGACUUAGUGAUCCGGUGGUUCUGCGUGGAAGGGCCAUCGCUCAACGGAUAAAAGCUACCCUGGGGAUAACAGGCUUAUCUCCCCCAAGAGUCCACAUCGACGGGGAGGUUUGGCACCUCGAUGUCGGCUCAUCACAUCCUGGGGCUGUAGUAGGUCCCAAGGGUUGGGCUGUUCGCCCAUUAAAGUGGUACGCGAGCUGGGUUCAGAACGUCGUGAGACAGUUCGGUCCCUAUCCGUCGCAGGCGUAGGAAAUUUGAGAAGACCUGUCCUUAGUACGAGAGGACCGGGAUGGACGUACCUCUGGUGUACCAGUUGUCCUGCCAAGGGCAUGGCUGGGUAGCUAUGUACGGAAUGGAUAAGCGCUGAAAGCAUCUAAGCGCGAAGCCAACUUCAAGAUAAGAUUUCCCACCGCAAGGGUAAGACCCCAGAAAGACUAUCUGGUUGAUAGGUCGAAGGUGUAAGUGCAGCAAUGUAUUUAGCUUAUCGAUACUAAUAG
rnacentral:rRNA from 1 species